rnacentral:rRNA from 1 species
GUCUACGGCCAUACCACCCUGAAUGCGCCUGAUCUCAUCUGAUCUCGGAAGCUAAGCAGGGUCGGGCCUGGUUAGUACUUGGAUGGGAGAUUUCAAAAAACAGGAAAUUUGUGUUUG